rnacentral:rRNA from 1 species
GGGCGCCGCGCGCGCGGCGGGCUACGGGAGGCAGCAGUGAGGAAUAUUGGUCAAUGGACGGAAGUCUGAACCAGCCAAGUAGCGUGCAGGAUGACGGCCCUAUGGGUUGUAAACUGCUUUUAUGCGGGGGUAAAGUGAGUGACGUGUCAUUCAUUGCAAGUACCGCAAGAAUAAGGACCGGCUAAUUCCGUGCCAGCAGCCGCGGUAAUA